GGCCUGUUCGUCUAAUGGUUAGGACGCAAGAUUCUCAUUCUUGUAACAGGGGUCCGAUUCCCCUACAGGCUA
rnacentral:tRNA from 1 species